CACAGGCAGAUACAGAGAGAGAGAGAGAGAGAGGAAAAGGGAUGGCUACCUGCACCAUACAUGACUGAGUGAGGGUUGGUAGCUAAGACAAAAAAAAGAAACAGUAAGAAAAUCCUUUUACCCCAAAUUCCCAUCUGUCUCGAGUUUAAGCAAAUCCCAUCAUCAUCAUCAUCAUCAUCAUCAUCGUCGUCGUCGUCAUUCUUGUAAUUCGUGCUUACUAGUGACUGCUGAAUGCUUUGCCCUUUUACUCCUUUCUUCUUCUAACUUUUUGGGUCUUUUGAUUAGUUAGGAGGAGUUAAAUAGUGGGUUUCAGGUUAGAUUUGAUGGAUCCAGGGGGUGAUGAGCAAUUAGACUUUGGAGAUGAAGAAUACGGAGGGAGUCAAAAGAUGCAGUAUCAUAGAGGUGGAGCAAUACCUGCACUUGCAGAGGACGAGAUGAUCAAUGAGGAUGAUGAAUAUGAUGAUCUCUACAAUGAUGUUAACGUUGGGGAGGGAUUCCUGCAGAUGCAGCAGCAGCAGCGGUCUGAGACACCACGGGCUCCUCUUGGUGUGGGCAAUGGGGGAUUCCCAGCUCCUAGAGCAAGUGUUCAGGAUCCGAGAGCAGAAACUGUGGUAACGCAAGGUGUAAACAUCCCUCGAUCUGCAACUGAAGGAAAGUAUACCAACUCUGGUGUUCGAUUUCCUGAUCAGAAGAGUGGACUGGCAUCUGAUGUAGGUGCCCUCCCUGGCACUGAUGCUUCUCAGAAAGGAAGAGCUCCAGAGAUUAUUCAUAACUCUCAAGCAGGAAAUUUGGGAUAUCAAGGGUCCAUGGCUGUUGCUAUGUCACAAAAAGUUGGAGUAGAGUCACUUGAUAUGUCAGGAAAAGUUACAGGGGAGCCUGGGCCAUUGCUAAAACCAGUUGCGGGUGCCCCCAGAGUCAUUCCGCAGGUGCCAGCUAAUCAUAUGAGUUCAAGUUCGAAUGUUAAUAGUAUUCGCCCAGUUGUUACUGAAAACCAGGUAAGACCAGCUGUAGAGAAUGGGAAUACAAUGCUCUUUGUUGGAGAGCUGCAUUGGUGGACUACUGACGCAGAGCUUGAGAGUGUUUUGACCCAGUAUGGGAAGGUCAAGGAGAUUAAAUUCUUUGAUGAGAGAGCUAGUGGAAAAUCUAAAGGCUAUUGCCAAGUUGAAUUCUCUGAUCCUGCUGCAGCGACUGCAUGUAAAGAAGGCAUGAAUGGUCAUGUCUUUAAUGGGCGAGCGUGUGUGGUGGCGUUGGCUACUCCACAAACCAUUAAACAGAUGGCUGCUUCUUAUAUGAACAAGACACAAGUCCAGUCUCAGUCCCAGUCCCAGCCACAGGGUAGGAGACCAAUGAACGAUGGUGCAGGUAGGGGCAAUGGAACUAAUUAUCCCAGUGGAGAUGCUGGGAGAAACUUUGGGCGUGGAGGAUGGGCUGGACGAGGAGGUCAGGGGAUGCCCAAUAAGGCUCCAGUAGGUGUACCUGGAAGAGGGAGAGGAACUGUUGGAGCGAAGAAUAUGAUGGGGAAUGCUCCAGGUGGUGGAAAUGGUGUCACUGGAGGAGCUUAUGGUCAGGGCCUUGCAGGUCCUGCUUUUGGUGGCCCUCCUACUGGCUUAAUGCAUCCUCAGGCAAUGAUGGGUCCCGGAUUUGAUCCGACAUAUAUGGGUCGAGGAGCUGGGUAUGGAGGCUUUUCGGGUCCUGCUUUCCCUGGGAUGAUCCCUCCAUUUCCAGCUGUUAAUCACAUGGGUCUUGCUGGGGUGGCUCCUCAUGUCAACCCUGCCUUUUUUGGGCGAGGAAUGGCUGCUAACGGUAUGGGUAUGAUGGGGACGGGAGGAAUGGAUGGACCUCACGCAGGAAUGUGGACCGACGCAAGCAUGGGAUGGGGCGGAGAAGAACAUGGUCGAAGGACAAGGGAGUCAAGUUAUGGUGGUGAAGACAAUGCCUCUGAGUAUGGGUAUGGAGAGGCAAGCCAUGAUAAGGGUGUGCGGUCAAGUGCUGCUUCGCGGGAGAAGGAACGAGGUUCUGAGCGUGACUGGUCAGGGAGUUCGGAUAGAAGGCAUCGUGAUGAGAGAGAGCAUGAUAGGGACAGGUAUGACAGGGAUCACAGGUACAGGGAAGAAAAGGAUAGUUAUAGGGAAUAUCGUCACAAGGAGCGGGACCCAGGUUAUGAAGAUGAUUAUGACAGGGGACAACCUUCGAGAUCCCGGAGCAGGUCACGAGCAGUUCCAGAAGAACAUCACAGGUCUCGAUCAAGGGAUGCAGAUUAUGGGAAGCGGAGGCGCCUGCCAUCAGAGUGAUGUUAUCAGGUGGUUUUUAUUCUUAUAAUGGCCCUUUGUGCAUGAAAGCACCAACCUUAUCGGCUCUCAGUAGCAUUUGCCAGACUGCAGCGAAGCACCGUCAAUCUGAUUUCUGUUUAUGCUGCACACGAAGUGGCUUCUGGUCUAAAGAAGGAGCAGAGAGACAACUCUUUGUUUUGUGACUAAAUCAGCUGAAUUGGUUACUUGAAGGAAGAUAAGAUAAAUUGGUCGCUAUUCUUGGAUUUCUUUGAAAACAUUAGUCAUCUACCUAAUGUGCCAAAGAAGCCUUAAUCAUACUGGCUGCAUUUCGUUUUCCUCAAGAACUUAGUGAAAUGUUCAUAAGUGAUGCCUCUGCAAGAAAAUGUCUAAACAGUCAAAUUCGCCAAACUGUAACAUUCAGGGCCAUUAUAGUUAAUUCUUCAUGUAGCUACCAUAUUUACGUGUCCACUUUUGUUGUUUUUUUUUUUUUAAAUCAUAGAUCCCAUGUUCUAGGUUUCACGUGUAAUAGUGCUUCAAUGUCGCUGUCUAAUUUGUGAGGUAUGUAGCCAAUUCUUUUGUACAUGAUGUAUUGUAUAUGGUAGCACUGGUCCUGUUCAUGUGAGGGUUUUUUUUGUUUCAAAUUGUACUGUAUCUUGGAGUUGGGUUGCUACAAUAUCUCAAGGGGAUUUCAUUUGGUUGAUGGUGCUUGUACCGGUCUGAGCUUAUGAAGCAUGAGAUGUAUUCUCACGGUUCUUUGCAAAUUGUAGAUCUUGUUUGUCAGAAUUGUACUCUUGUAUAUGGUGGAAUUGGUGGCAAAAGUGUCUGAUUUUGUAGUUGUAUAGGAUAGCAUAAGUAGGGUGCCAACCAUAGGAAGUUAACUGUAACAUUCUCAAGGAUUUGAUCUGGCAUAUUUCUUCACGAGCUUGAAGGUCCCGCUUUCCAACCUUACAAUGUAAUCUAAAAAUUUCUUUGAUUUUUCUA